GGACAGAAGUAGCUUCCAUAUAUGUUUCUCCCACUUCUCUCUGGAAUGGGCAGGGGGAAGCAGACCCGGUACCCCCGGUACCGAUGCAGAUAGCGGCGUGUAAAUUCUGUUCUUUGCAAACCUAUGUAAUUCCGUGCCGAGUCGGUAAGUCGGGAAGUAUAGGGCAUACUGUCCCCAUGGUUGACAGUCCUUUAUGUAAUUUUUAGUUACUGGUCGGGUCAACGUUUCCACCUAUCUACUUCCAUCGUGUGUCCAUCUCUUUAUAGAUAUCAGUAUCAUAGACAAAAAAAAGCAAAAAAUAUUAGAUACAUCAGCCCAGCCGCAGGCUGUCAACAAGUGUGAUUGAUGUUGGGAAUUGUAAACAAUACCCUGAUACCAUCAUCAUCAUCAUUUUUAAUUCAAAUAUAUUGACAGUUCUGUUUCUGCGGAUAACGGGACACGUGAUCAAACCUUGUUGCAUUUAGAUGGAUUGUCCAAUGUUAAUUGGCAAUUUGAGAAAGCCAAGAAUUUAUUGGUAUCAGACGGAUGCGGAAAUCGUGAUUCGUAUAAUGCUUCACGACGUGGACGAUUACUUUCUUAGCGUAAGAACAGACGAGUUUGAAUUCAGCACGUCUGUAGACGGCGUCGAUUACUAUAUUUACCUGCAUCUUUUUGGUGCAAUCACUGCCGAGAAAACUAUCCAUAAAACAACUGGAAGAGAAGUCACAGUUUACCUUCCAAAAGUUCAAAAGUGGACUCCCUGGCCAAGGUUAAUUUAUUCAAGCAAAGCAUGUCCACAUAUUUUUGUGGACCUUGAUCACCUUGCCUCAAUCAAACCCAAAAAAGAGAUUGAUUGGAAUGAGAGAGAAGACUUUGCUACCUUCAAACGAAGACAUAAUAUAUCCUAUAUAAGGCCAGAUGUACCAUCUUCGGAUGAAGAUGAAUCUGCUGGAGAGGAAAACAAUAUGAUUUUCGAUUUUUAACAUCUCUUGAAGUGGAUUAAUAGAACUAGGUUCCAAAUCUCAUUCUAAUGAGGUGUGAAGAGCAAUCUAUUUGGAUUCAUUGAAGCAAACUAUUAAAAGAUAAAUUACGCAAAAUAAAACUUGUGACGAAUGUUUUUAAUCUGUGAUCUAAAAAAGUGUAUCGAUGCAAGAAGACAUUGCUAUCAGUGAAUCGACAAUGAAAAUAACUAAGAAAACAGAUAAGGGACAAUAAUACCAGAGACGCUUAUCUUAUAAACAAUUUAAUCCAAGAAAACUAGUUAGAUAUGGUAUUAAAUUUUAUAAAUUAUGUGAUUCAGAAUCGGGUUAUUGCUGUGACUCUAAAAAAAUACUCAGGUAGUGAUAAAAUAAAUUCUAAUGACAGUGAUUCUGAAAAUGUUGUUAAAGAGCUAUCACAGUCAGUGUUACGUAAAGGACAUAUUUUAUACUUAGACAAUUGGUACACUGCACCAAAACUGGUUAUAACUAAUUAACAGUAAAACUAAUGCUGUCGGAACAGUAGAUUUGAACAGAAAGAAUAUGCCAAAUGAUUUGGUUGAAGCAAAAUUAAAAAAAGAAGAAUGCAGAACGAAAAGCUGCAAUGGAAUACUGACAUAAAAAUAUAAAUAUAAACGAGACAUUUAUAUUAUUUCUACGAAACACGAAACAGCAGAAAUGGCUGCAUAAGGCAAAAAUCAAUUCAAUCCUACUUCAAAACCAAAAGGUGUCAUUGAGUACAACAAAGGAAUGAUUGGACUUGAUCGACAAGACCAAAUGCUAGUGUGCUUCUCUGUUAUGAAGGAAUAUGCAAAAGGAUACUGAACAGUUUUUUUUUACAUGCUUGAUAUUGAACUUUUGAACUCUUACAUUUUGUCCAACAAAGUAAAUACUAGAGAAAAACAGAGCCACUCAUGCUAAGUAUGAAAUUGAAAUAGUCGAGUCAUCAAUGAAAAAUGUGCCGUUACCAGAAUAUAAACGAUGAGGGUGAUUUUUGAAUGGAGUUUUACCCCAGAGACUCCACACGCAACAUUGGGGUCAUUUUUUCAAGAAUAUAGACCCAACACCAUCGAAAACAAAGCCAUAAAGAGCCUGUAAAGUUUGUACAAGAUAUAAGUAAAAAAACGUAGCGAAACAACAUAGGAGUGCAAAAGAUUUAAAGUUACAUUGGAUGUACCAAUAUGCUUCGAAAGUUACCAUACAAUUGAAGCUUAAUAACUUUCUGUUACAUGUUUUUUAAAAUGUUUAUAAUUUAAUAUAAGCAUUUAUUCAGGAAUUUAAAUAAAAUGUUGUUGAUUUAUUAAUCUUUCUUUUUCACUGAUGAAUUGUUUGUAAUUAUUUAUCAAACACCUUAAGAAAUUAAACCGGUUGUAUCUUACACAUGUUUACAUAUCAUGAGACGUAUGCAAUUGGCAUAACUUCGAACAUUUAUCCAAACUGUAAAAUGGCUCAACGUGCAACCGACCUUGCUGUUUAUUAUAGCAUAGGCGAUCAGAACUUAAAUUGUAGGGCAAGGGGUUAAAUAUCGAUUUGAUUGAAAUGUUUACAUGCCUGUAUAUCAGGCGGAACUGCACAUCAUGAACCACCCGCUUUACUCUUUGCCUUCAUCCUUUUGCACAACUCGAGGAACGCUUGAUUUUUCAAUAAUUUGAAUCUUUUGUCAGUAGAACUAGAUGCAUAUUGUGCAUUCUCUGAAAGCAACGCUAAUUAUAGAGAACCCUUAAUUUGCUGUUCUCGUUGAUCUGUUCAGUCUCAUGAUGGCGAAAGGGUUAAAAUAUUGGGUGAUACACGUAUUUAGGUAUCAUUGCUACUACAUCAAAUAGAAAUAAAAUCUGGAAUGUUGAAAUUGUCUGUUCGAUUAAAAUCUAACGUCAUUGCAUGUGAAAUCUCAUGCAAAGAAUAGUGAUGAAAAAUAAAUCAACCUAGGGCGAUCUUUGUUUAAAAAAAAAGGAAAAAGUACAAAAGUGUAUUUUGUAAUAUAAAGUCAAGAUUUUGCCGUACGCGUGAUUCAAUCAUGUUCGUACGAAUUACGUAUGUACAUACGAUUUACUCAGACCUAUAUACAUCUAUGCACGUAUUAAUUAUACGCGUUGAAUAGAAAUUGAGAUAAUAAUCAGUUUGAUGCGCUUUGUGUGAAAUAUUAUUAGUAUUUUACAGAAUAUCGUCUGCUUCGUUUUUUACUAUUAUUUACAAGAUUAAAGCGAACUCUACGCAGUUUACUUGUCUUACAAAUCACCUGCAGACUAGUCGGCACCUUGCUUAAUUCACCAGCACUCUGUACAUCACGAAUAAAACGAUAAUGAAAUUUUCUUCCUUCGUUCUGAAAUAGUGAAUCUUUUAGCGUACCCACAGCAACGAACGGCAAUCACCGUCGAAUUAAUUAUUGCUACAUAAAGCUAACGAGAAGAACGGCAUAGAUCAUAUCUACCACUGUCUACGAAUUCGUCUAUACCUUAGAUGUACGUAAAUUUGAACACACGGUUAAACGUUUACGGGUAAAGCGAAUUACCCGUUAAUCGUAUAGUCGUUGUACCUUCACUAUUAAGGCGGUCAGCCCAGUUAUUUGAACGAUAACUCGUUCCGGUUAGUCUAAUCAAUUACAAAUGUUAAAUUUCUAUAAUACAGCAUUUUUUAACAACCUUCCAGUGAAAGUCUUUGAUUUAUGUUUCCCACCCUAGUUUUUAUUUCCUUGAGGAUGUCCUCGGCCAGCUCAUCGACCGUGGUAUAG
rnacentral:misc_RNA from 1 species